CAGUAGCCGCGGUAAUACGUAGGUGGCAAGCGUUGUCCGGAUUUACUGGGCGUAAAGCGAACGCAGGCGGGCCGUUAAGUAGGAAGUGAAAGGUCGGAGCUCUACUCCAACAUUGCUUCCUAUACUGGCAGUCUUGAGUAGCGGAGAGGAAGGGGGAACGACACGUGUAGCGGUGAAAUGCGUUGAUAUGUGUCGGAACACCCAUGGCGAAAGCACCCUUCUGGACGCAAACUGACGCUCAGGUUCGAAAGCCAAGGUAGCGAACAGGAUUAGAUACCCCAGUAGUCCCUGUCUCUUAUAC
rnacentral:rRNA from 1 species